UGACAGCCUCUCAGUGGCAGUGCACCACAAUAUAAAACUGUGCAGUUAUUCAGUUAGAAACAACUUGCUGCUGCUGCUAUCUGUUUAGUCUUGCCUCACUCAGCUCAUGUCACUCAGAAAAGGACUUCCAUUGGAAGGAGGGGAUGCCUCAUAGGCUUGCCAGAUUGCAGUUUAAUUGACUUCAUUCCCCAGAGGCUAAUCCUCAGAAGUUUUCAAAGUUGAAAUUACAGUGGUGCAAGAAAUGGUUUCCUCCUCCUUCACUUUAGCAUCCCAGCGUGCAUGUCCCCUCCCUACAGAGCUCACCAGUGGAUUUCCUUGAGAAAAUCACAUGCUGAUGAGCAUUUAAGCUUUAACUCUGGUGGCAUGUCGGGAAGAGAAGGCAUGCAGAGGUGACAGCAUGUGACAACAGUGCUUCCACAGAGAUGCGGGUGCUCUGGAGAGGAGCAAUUCCCAGCUGGGGCAGGAAGAUGUGUCUGAGCUUGCCCAGAACCAAGGAAGAAGGCAGCCAAGCAUCUCCGUGUCGCCAUGCUAACCAUCCCUUCCCCACACAAUGAGACCAACUCAGGACAGCCUGGUUGUAUGCCAGCCCUGCCAGACGUCAAGGGAAUGAAGGCCAGAAAGGGAGACCACGAAAACAUAUAUCAGAAUCAUGGAUAAAUCUUUUGCAAAGGGAAAAGCCCUGAUGGAAAAAGGUUGUUUGGUGAUGAAGGAAAAAACUUUUCUACUCCUCAGCCCCUGAUUUCAAGACUUGUAUUAUAUAUUUUUUAUUUAUGUAUUUAUCCACUGUCUUUUGCCAGAGCCUUUCUUGCAACCUCAACCUUGAAAACUACACUGCAUGUUAGCCUAAAUAACUAACCUGAAUGCAAUAGUGCUGUCUGGGUGCUUAUCAGUAACUUCUGAAGCCACUGGGCAAUGUUAAUUGCACUUGGUAGGCUGAAGUUUCAAGAGAGGAAGUUUCUACUAUUAGAGAAAAAAACAAAACAAGAGGGGUGAAAGUGACAAAUAAUGCCAACAGACCUUCCAGGCUGCAAGAUGAACUCAGCUCAUCCUAGAGAACGGAGGGCUUUCCCUAAAGGCACAAGCCACCACAACCACACCUGAGAGGAGAGGGCAGUUGGCCAAGGUGCAUGUCCCAGAAGCUGGGGACCCCAGCCCAGCCCUGCUGGCUUGCAGGCACCUCCAGCAAGCGUAGUUAGACUGCUGCACCUAGAACUGGCUUAACCAGCCUCAUACCAUGAACUGACCUCCUACUGUUCUCCAUGCCAAAUCAAUCCCAAGCUGCUCACCUGGGAAUUAAACACCACCUGUCUGGACCUCUCCUUCAUUUGACAAAGCAGCCAGGAAGGCAUCUUCAGUGUGCCAGUACCAACACACUCUGCAGCCUCCAACCAUCUGCUCUGUGGUUGACUUUCUCCCCUGCCUUUGGAGAGUGCUGAGACCAGAGGAAAAUCAAUGUAGUUGGUCAAAUAAUUGUGGAUUGUGUUCUGGGGAGAGAACUGAAAAAGCACAUUAAAGAUAAUCUGGAUCAACAGGUUUCAUGCAAUAUUUGAGCUUCUCCUGUUAGCUCUCAUACUAAUGCACUUUCAUCUUUACCUCUGGUUUGGGGGACUUUAAUGGGAUCUACUGUAAAAACAGUUUUCUGUGGGAAUGGUAAGAAGGGUAGCAUAUAUGAAAAACAAUGGGAAAUGCUGUUUUUCCCAUAAUCAUAAUUAAUUAGUUUUUUUUUUUAAAAGCCACUUUCCCUUCCCUACCAGAGACCUAUAAACUUCUUACUCAGAAGUCUGACUGUAAUUUAAGAACAUAAAUAAGAAACACAAAAACCAAAAUACAAAAAAUAUGUAUUCAGGUCAUUUAUAAAGCUAAUGCACUGACGUUCAGCCAUUUUCCUGGUAAUUUAACAGUUGCUUCAGAAGACAACAUAACACACGUUUUGCAGAAAAAAAAUAAUAUGUUAAGUAGUCUACUGUCAAAGGAGUUGUCUCCCGCACAUUUUCUGAUUAAGGUUUGGUGGGGCUAUUUUAUUCUCCCUCCAGAUGUAUCUGUCUUGGUGUGAGACAGAAUAAUUACUGCUGAUUUGCAAGGAAAGGUGAUAAUCUGAAGCACAUUCGGACCUCUUUUUUCUUGAAGGAAUUUAGUUGAAAAGCUGUUCUUUUCAACUGCAGUUUUCCAUAAUGCUAAACUACUAUACCAUUCAAUGUAGGAGUAACUGAUUUGCUGUUAUAUUGUUUGAGACAAUGUUUACCUAACUGCUUAUGUAUUUCCACUUCUUGGAAAAUUCUUUAGCAGAAUAUUAUAUUCAUUAAUUUCAUAUCAAUUUGUUAUUUUAUGAGAAAGUGAAUAAGGCUUGGUUUGACUGCUUCUAUUCUAUUUUUACAGGGAAUGAGUGUUCAAAAGGGUCUUUGUUUUGUCUAACUGGUAUGUUUCCUAUAAAUAGAUCUAGUUACAAUUUCACAGACUAAACUCACUUUGUUACUAAAGUUAGUGACUUUACCAGGGAAAACAUUCUAUUGUUUGGUUGUUUUUAUAAAUAAACACAAGGUUUGAUUCA